UCCUAGUAGAGUGGCGAACGGGUGAGUUACGCGUGGAUAACAUACCUUUCAGUGGGGAGGAGCAUCGGGAAACUGAUGCUAAUACCGCAGAUGUCAUUUCAUUGAUUUUGAUUUGACUGAAGGGGGGGCUCCUUUUGGACCUUCCGCUGAUAGAUUGGUCCGCGUCCCAUUAGCUAGUUGGUGGGGUAAAGGCCUACCAAUGCGACGAUGGGUAGCCGGCCUGAGAGGGUGUCCGGGCACACUGGGAUUGAGAUACGGCCCAGACUCCUUCGGGAGGCAGCAGUCGAGAAUCUUCCACAAUGUACGAAAGUAUGAUGGAGCGACGCCGCGUGUGUGAUGAAGGCUCAACGAGUUGUAAAGCACUGUCAGGGGGGAAGAAUCAGCGCAUAACUAAUAAAUAUGCGCUCUGACGUACCCCCAGAGGAAGCUCCGGCUAACUCCGUGCCAGCAGCCGCGGUAAUACGGAGGGAGCAAGCGUUGUCCGGAAUUAUUGGGCGUACAGGGCACGCAGGCGGUUCGGUAAGUCGAAUGUGAAAUCUUACAGCUUAACUGUAAAACUGCGUUCGAAACUACCGAACUUGAGUACUGGAGAGGUAUGCGGAAUUCCUGGUGGAGCGGUGGAAUGCGUGGAUAUCAGGAAGAACACCGGUGGCGAAGGCGGCAUACUGGCCAAGUACUGACGCU
rnacentral:rRNA from 1 species